GUGGCUGUGUCUGGCUAAAUGCAGAGACAAACAUAGUCGUGGGAUAAUGAGAGUGAAACUGUGGCUGUAGGAAUUGAAGACAGAAAUGACACAAAUCCCAGAUCCCUUUUAAGCGCUUAACGCCUCAUCUCGUCACUGAGGAAGGUAAAGGCUGCGCGUCGUCGCCAGGAAGCGUCCGGGAGAUGGAAGGGGGGACUGCGGAAACCGGGAAUGACGAGAGGACGAGUGAAGCAGCGGGCACCAGCGUCUGUUUACAGCUUGACCUGGGGGACACAGAUCCAGCCAAGAGAGCUCAGAUAACAGAGAUGCCGUCGCCGUUCGGAACGGGCCCAGCCCACGAGAAAAAGAUCGGCCACAGGAGGGUCGACGCCUCUGGAGAGACAACAUACAAGAAGACCACCUCCUCCGCCUUGCAGGGGGCCAUUCAGCUGGGCAUUGGAUAUACUGUAGGCAACCUCAGCUCCAAGCCUGAGAGAGAUGUGCUGAUGCAGGACUUCUAUGUGGUUGAAAGCAUCUUCUUCCCCAGUGAAGGCAGUAACCUGACACCAGCUCAUCAUUUCCCGGACUUCCGGUUUAAAACCUAUGCCCCUGUGGCCUUCAGGUACUUCAGAGAGCUGUUUGGGAUCAGGCCGGAUGACUACCUGUAUUCUUUGUGUAAUGAGCCGCUGAUUGAGUUGACAAACCCAGGAGCUAGUGGCUCCAUAUUCUACGUUACCCGUGAUGAUGAGUUCAUCAUUAAAACUGUUCAGCACAAAGAAGCAGAGUUUCUACAGAAACUUCUUCCUGGAUACUACAUGAACUUGAACCAGAACCCUCGGACUUUGCUGCCAAAGUUUUUUGGCCUUUACUGUGUCCAGUGUGGAGGCAAGAACAUCAGAGUUGUUGUGAUGAACAAUAUUUUACCACGCUCUGUACGCAUGCACCUCAAGUUUGAUCUGAAGGGCUCUACUUACAAGAGGAGAGCAUCGAAGAAGGAGAGAGAGAAGUCCAAACCCACUUACAAAGACCUAGACUUUCUGAAUGACAUUCCUGAAGGCCUCACUCUGGACCAGGACACGUACAGUGCCCUGGUCAAAACUCUACAGAGAGACUGUCUGGUUCUGGAAAGUUUUAAGAUUAUGGACUACAGUUUGCUGCUGGGAGUCCACAACAAGUCCCAAGCAGAGCGGGAGCAGCAGUCUCAGGGCUCUCCUGCAGGAGGUGCAGAUGAAACCAGGCGUGCAGCUCAGAGGGCUUUAUAUUCCACAGCGAUGGAGUCCAUACAGGGAGGCUCCACAUGCAGGGACACACUGGACCAUGAUGACACUAUGGGUGGUAUUCCAGCUGUGGGUGGUAAAGGAGAACGCCUCUUACUGUUCAUUGGAAUCAUUGACAUCCUGCAGUCGUACAGGCUGAUCAAGAAACUGGAGCACUCAUGGAAGUCCCUCAUCCAUGACGGGGACACAGUGUCAGUUCACAGACCUGGUUUCUACGCUGAGAGAUUCUACAAAUUCUGCAGCACCAUUGUCUUCAAGAAGAGCUGCUCACUGCGAUCAUCCCCGUCAAAGAGAGGACGAGGGCCUCUUUUGUCCAAGUCCAGUGCUGGAACGGGUUCAGUUGGACAGCGUCCCUCAGUGAGUGACGACAAGCAGGAAAAUCAGGACAACUUGGAGAACUUACGAGGAGCCCGCAGUUACCCCAUGCUGGAGGACAAUGGGAGAGAGCCACCCUGCACUCCUCCUUCCUUUGAAGAUGCCACUACAGCUUCAACUGCAACCACUCUCUCCUCCAACAACUCUUUACCCACAACCCCCUUUGAUACACCUGAGCACCCACGCUUCAGGAGACAAAUGCUUUCCCCAAGUGUGGCCAGGUCACAGAAAGCUGACUACCAUGGGGAAAAGCAGGACACAAUAACAGUGGAAGUGGAGCUCAGUAAAAUCCCAAAGAGCACAGAGCUCACACAGAUGACAGAAAAGACCUCCCCCAGCCACCUGUCACCUGAUCGUGCUUUCCCUCCAUCUACUAGUCCAACCUCUGCACAUUCCUCCUCUACCCUUCCUCCUUCCUUCACGUCUCCCUCAUCCGCUGCCCAAUCAUCCAGCCAUUCCUCCACCACACUUUCAUCCUCCAUCCGCCCUUCCACCAGACCCCUAACCUCUCCUGCAGCUGCUCAGUCUUCCUCCACUCUCUCUUCUCCAUCUGCACAAUCCAAGUUUCUCACCCCUGUCCCGAACACCUCCCCCACCCUCCCUCCUACCUCAGCGUUUACUCCCAUCCGCCCUGCAUCUUCUAACUCCUCCAUCCACAGCUCCCCACACCACCCCAUCACCCCACCUCCGUCCUCCAUGCCUGCAAGCCCCCAAAGGCCCCCGAGAGCAUCAGCUCCAUCAAGCAAUCAGCUGUCUGUGUCCAGCAGCCACAACUCUCUGGAUGGGGAGGUGCCAGUGUCUGACAUCUACUUUUGGGCCAGUCAGGACAGCGUGGUAGAGUUAUGAUGAAUCCAGAGGACCAGAGCGGAGUGUGCUCUCCUCUGCACUUCGGCUCAGAGUCCAGAAGAGGCUCAGAUGGGGAGAGUUACACAUAACUCACAGUGGAGACAGCAGUGAUGGGCAGAGCCCCAGGCUGUCUCCAUGAACAGAGGCUUGGGGCCUUAACUGCAUGUGGAUUCUACAGGACGACACAUAACUGAAAUAAAUUCAAACUAAAAGGAAGGUGCAGUUUUAUCAGUAUAUAUGCAAAAUAAAACCUCAAAGCAUCGAAUCCUGAACAAUCUUACAUCAAACAGUAAGUAAACAAAGAUGUCAGAGUACAAUCAGCCGAGGGGCACUGUGAACUACUUUGAUGGCUGCUGUUAAGAGGCAGCCAUGCUGCACUGUGUCAGCUCUGGCUAUGCAAUACUGACAUAUGAAAACUUAAAUCAUGCAUUUAUUUUCAUUAGAGGCACAGCACAGUUGUAAAUACUUUUAUUUUUAGCACUUUAUACAUGUACCUGUGGCUGCAGUCUUUUUGUUAUUUAAUGAUCAGUUAUUAUUUGAUAACGCUCAAAACAAAGUUAAUGUGUGUUCAUCUGUGUGCUGUGUAUGCACAGUGUUGGUCUGUCAGUGUUGGUCCAGUAAGAUCUUAUGUUGAUCUGACGAUGAAUGGUUGUGUUUAAAUGCCUUAUUGACAAACACAUUUUCAUACCUGCUUUUGAUAUUUUUAAACAUAUGUAAUCAUUAAAAAAGAUAUUAAAAAAAUCAGCAAGCUACAGAGCCCCCAAAGUAGCAAAAAGUGGGAAAAAUAUCUUAUUGCACAUUAAAUUGUCUCGUUGGAAAACGUUCACGCCGCAUUAGAAAGAGUUAAUAUUUUGUGGAAAUGAUGUUUAUCUGGUGGAAAUGAGUUAUUUUGGGGGAAAAGGUUAUUUUCUCUCAAAAACAAGUUAUGUUUUUGGAACAAGUUAUCCUGUUGGAGUUGGUUUUCUUGUUUUGAUCAAGUUAUCUUUUGCGAGGAGAUGUUAUGUUGACAACUUGUAGUCUUGAGUUAUCUUGUAGAAGCAAGUUACUGUCUCUGGAAGAAUGUGGUAACAAGCAAUUACCUUUUGAUAACGAGCAGGGCCGCCCAUAAGGGGGGACAAAGGGGAAAGUUUCCUGGGGCCCAGCCCCAACUGGGGGCUGACAAAACACGGUCCACCUUAAAUAUAAGCAGUGAUAACAAAUAGAUUUUUUUUUUUUUUUUUGCCUUUUUUCAAAAAUACUCUACGUUACUUAUUAAAGCCGCACAAUUGCACACGUUUUUCUUAUUCUUGUAGAAAAUGUACUGUUUUAAAAUGUAACCCCUUCUUACAUAGUACGACUUUUUUUCUUUUUCCUUCCCGUCUUGUAAUGGUCAUGUUAUGGGCCAGCCGAACUUAACUAUAAAGUCAUUUCUUUUUGCACUUUGUACAGCCAUGCCAGGACUUGAACUAAAGUAGGAAAACUAGAAAAGAAAGGACAAGAAAACUGACUUGUUAGCAAACUUAUUUUAACUGGUUUUAACAUUGAACUGAGCCUGAAUGUGGAGGCAAUUCUGAGCUAGGAGGCUAGUGUUAAUGUGUGUCAGUAUUAUUGAUCAGAUCCAAGAGACGGGCCCUUUAAUUAAGUCUAUAUUAUUUAUUUCCAUGGUUGGGUCUGAUUUCAAGUAACUAUCUUGUGGUAAUGAUAAUUCUUGGUAAGAGUUACCUUGUAGAAACAAGUCAUUAAAGUCAUUAUCAUGUGAUAACAAGCAGUAAUUUUGUGGGAACAAGUUAUUACCUCCGCCAAGGAGGUUAUGUGAUCGGCAGGGUUUGUUAGUUUGUCAGUUAGUUUGUUUGUUAGCAACAUAACUCAACAAGUUAUGAACGGAUUU